AUUGAACGCUGGCGGAAUGCUUUACACAUGCAAGUCGAACGGCAGCACGGACUUCGGUCUGGUGGCGAGUGGCGAACGGGUGAGUAACAUAUCGGAACGUAUCCAAUAAUGGGGGAUAACUAAUCGAAAGGUUGGCUAAUACCGCAUACGCCCUGAGGGGGAAAGCUAGGGAUCGUCAAGACCUGGCGUUAAUGGAGCGGCCGAUAUCUGAUUAGCUAGUUGGUGGGGUAAGGGCCCACCAAGGCGACGAUCAGUAGCUGGUCUGAGAGGACGACCAGCCACACUGGAACUGAGACACGGUCCAGACUCCUACGGGAGGCAGCAGUGGGGAAUUUUGGACAAUGGGCGCAAGCCUGAUCCAGCAAUGCCGCGUGCAGGAUGAAGGCCUUCGGGUUGUAAACUGCUUUUGUACGGAGCGAAACGGCUCUCUUUAAUACGGGGGGCUAAUGACGGUACCGUAAGAAUAAGCACCGGCUAACUACGUG
rnacentral:rRNA from 1 species